rnacentral:lncRNA from 1 species
AGAAAUUGCUUUUGAAAACAAGAAAUUCAUUUUGAGGGUCUAGUCUGACGGCGAAAGAAGAAAUUCAACAACUUGGGGUCCAACGAAUGAGAUCGGUAUCAUAGCAUCUUUGAAUAUAUGCAGGCCGAGCUUUGAAAACAGUCAUCGAAGAUCAUCAUGGUGGGCUUUUCCGGUAGGUAGCAUCGAUGAUCGGACAAGGACUGUCUCGACGACAUUGAUAGCGACGACUGAUUUAGAAAUAAAGUGAGAGAUGCAGUUGAGAGAGAUGGGAUGAGAGAGAAACAUCAUGAAAAUGAAAAUUUA